rnacentral:rRNA from 2 species
CACGUAGGGGGCGAGCGUUGUCCGGAUUUAUUGGGCGUAAAGAGCUCGUAGGCGGUUCGAUAAGUCGGGUGUGAAAACUCUGGGCUCAACUCAGAGACGCCACCCGAUACUGUUGUGACUUGAGUCCGGUAGGGGAGUAUGGAAUUCCCGGUGUAGCGGUGAAAUGCGCAGAUAUCGGGAGGAACACCAGUGGCGAAGGCGGUACUCUGGGCCGGAACUGACGCUGAGGAGCGAAAGCGUGGGUAGCGAACAGG